rnacentral:rRNA from 1 species
UACGUAGGUGGCAAGCGUUGUUCGGAAUUAUUGGGCGUAAAGGGCGCGUAGGCGGUUUGUUAAGUCAGCUGUGAAAGCCCGGGGCUCAACCUGGGAAUUGCAUUCGAGACUGAAUAGCUAGGGUACGGUAGAGGGAAGUGGAAUUUCCGGUGUAGCGGUGAAAUGCGUAGAUAUCGGAAGGAACAUCAGUGGCGAAAGCGACUUCCUGGACCAGUACCGACGUUCAGGCACGAAAGCGUGGGGAGCAAACAGG